UAUUGGGCAAUGGGCGCAAGCCUGACCCAGCAACGCCGCGUGAAGGAAGAAGGCUUUCGGGUUGUAAACUUCUUUUAAGAGGGAAGAGUAGAAGACGGUACCUCUUGAAUAAGCCACGGCUAACUACGUGCCAGCAGCCGCGGUAAUACGUAGGUGGCAAGCGUUGUCCGGAUUUACUGGGUGUAAAGGGCGUGUAGCCGGGCCGGCAAGUCAGAUGUGAAAUCCCAAGGCUCAACCUUGGAACUGCAUUUGAAACUGUUGGUCUUGAGUAUCGGAGAGGCAGGCGGAAUUCCUAGUGUAGCGGUGAAAUGCGUAGAUAUUAGGAGGAACACCAGUGGCGAAGGCGGCCUGCUGGACGACAACUGACGGUGAGGCGCGAAAGCGUGGGGAGCAAACAG
rnacentral:rRNA from 1 species